AUGGAGUCAUUGCUGGGCUGGGUUUUCUUUGUUGCUGUCUUAAAAGGUGUCCAGUGUGGGGUGCAGCUGGUAGAGUCCGGGGGAGGCCUGAGUCAGCCUGGGGGCUCCCUGAGACUCUGCUGUGCAGCCUCUGGAUUCACCUUCAGUAGCUACUGGAUGCACUGGGUCCGCCAGGCUCCAGGGAAGGGCCUGCAGUGGGUCUCAACCAUUCCUGAUGAUGGUGGUAGCAAAUACUACACAGACUCUGUGAAGGGCCGCUUCACCAUCUCCAGAGACAACGCCAAGAACACGCUGUAUCUGCAAAUGGACAGUCUGAAAGUUGAGGACACGGCCGUGUAUUACUGUGCUGCAGACACAGUGAGGGGAAGUCAGUGUGAGCCCAGACACAAACCUCCCCUGCAGGCAUAG